rnacentral:rRNA from 1 species
GAUGAACGCUGGCGGCGUGCCUAAUACAUGCAAGUCGAGCGAAUGGAUUAAGAGCUUGCUCUUAUGAAGUUAGCGGCGGACGGGUGAGUAACACGUGGGUAACCUGCCCAUAAGACUGGGAUAACUCCGGGAAACAGGGGCUAAUACCGGAUAACAUUUUGAACCGCAUGGUUCGAAAUUGAAAGGCGGCUGCGGCUGUCACUUAUGGAUGGACCCGCGUCGCAUGAGGUAGUUGGUGAGGUAACGGCUCACCAAGGCAACGAUGCGUAGCCGACCUGAGAGGGUGAGCGGCCACACUGGGACUGAGACACGGCCCAGACUCCUACGGGAGGCAGCAGUAGGGAAUCUUCCGCAAUGGACGAAAGUCUGACGGAGCAACGCCGCGUGAGUGAUGAAGGCUUUCGGGUCGCAAAACUCUGUUGUUAGGGAAGAACAAGUGCUAGUUGAAUAAGCUGGCACCUUGACGGUACCUAACCAGAAAGCCACGGCUAACUACGUGCCAGCCGCCGCAGUAA